GCAGGGUGCAGUGGAGCACACCUGUAAUCCCAGCAGCUCAGGAGGCUGAGGCAGGAGGGUUGAAAGUUCAAAGCCAACCUCAGUAACUUAGGCCCUAAGCAACUUAGCAAGAUCCUGUCUCAA
rnacentral:sRNA from 1 species